rnacentral:lncRNA from 10 species
GUACCCGUUUGAGUGGUCCACUUCUCAGUCCAACUCUGAUCUUGGUGUGCAGGGCAGCAGUAAAGAGAUCUGGAGUCUGGGAAGUUCAAGAGCAUGGCACCAACAUCUGGCAAGGGCUUUCAUUCUGCAUCAUCUCAUGGAGGAAAAUAAAAAGAUUUCAGGUAAAUCCAGAUUUGGAGCUUAAAUGACUCAAAUGCUUUGCCUACAUUGAUCCUACAUUCAGGCUGCUUACAUAUCUCUUGGCUUCUCUGAGAACCAGAUUGUCACCACUUAAAGGUCUGUUAGAAUUUUCACAAAACCUUCUCAACUGAUUUCUUCUUCAUGGGAAAGUAAAAGCAAUGAAAAUGCCUUCAAGUUAACUAGGUCUUAUUAGGUACAAAUUGUUGCAAGGAAAGUGAGGUGGGAUGGAAGUAGAAGGUUGUUCUGAAAUCAUCUUACAAAUGUCAGCAUUCAAGACCUGAGUAAUCCAAGAUAGCAAGAGCAGAUCAAUGAUCUCUAUACAGAAUGCUCUACAAAGGACUUGGAAGGAACGGUAAACCCACAGGGCUUUCAACCCUCUUCCUAUGAACAAUGGGGCUCAUAGGGUUUGCAAGAUACAGGAAGAAGCUCCUGGAGAUGCCAGACAAAGAAGGAAAGGUGAUCCAUCAACCUCCACCUGCUUUACAAACAGACAGCCCC